rnacentral:rRNA from 1 species
UGGUUAAGUUACUAAGGGCACACGGUGGAUGCCUUGGCGCUAGGAGCCGACGAAGGACGCAGCGAACUGCGAUAAGCCUCGGGGAGCGGUAAGCACGCUUCGAUCCGGGGAUCUCCGAAUGGGGCAACCCACCAUCCGUAAUGGGAUGGUAUCCGUCACUGAAUACAUAGGUGACGAGAAGGCAGACCCGGUGAACUGAAACAUCUAAGUAGCCGGAGGAAGAGAAAACAAUAGUGAUUCCCCCAGUAGUGGCGAGCGAACGGGGAAGAGCCUAAACCGUCAGGUUUACCUGGCGGGGUUGUGGGGCGUCUCACAUGGAGUUACAAAGGAUUCUUGUAGAUGAACAGUCUGGGAAGGCUGACCAAAGAGCGUGACAGUCGCGUAAUCUAAACACGAAUCCCUCCGAGACCCACCCCGAGUAGCACGGGACACGAGAAAUCCCGUGUGAAUCUGGCAGGACCAUCUGCUAAGGCUAAAUACUACCUAGCGACCGAUAGUGAACCAGUACCGUGAGGGAAAGGUGAAAAGCACCCCGGGAGGGGAGUGAAAUAGUACCUGAAACCGUGUGCUUACAAAUAGUCGGAGCACGAUCAAUGUGUGACGGCGUGCCUUUUGUAGAAUGAACCGGCGAGUUACGGUAGCGUGCGAGGUUAAGUCGAAGAGACGGAGCCGCAGCGAAAGCGAGUCUGAAUAGGGCGCAAGUACGUUGCCGUAGACCCGAAACCGUGUGAUCUAGCCAUGUCCAGGGUGAAGGUAGGGUAACACCUACUGGAGGCCCGAACCCACGCACGUUGAAAAGUGCGGGGAUGAGGUGUGGCUAGCGGUGAAAUUCCAAUCGAACUCGGAGAUAGCUGGUUCUCCCCGAAAUAGCUUUAGGGCUAGCCUCGGAUUGGGACCCCGCCGGACGUGAGCGUAAGCUUGCGUCCGGUGGGACCCUUUAGAGUCUUGGAGGUAGAGCACUGAUUGGGCUAGGGGCCCUCAUCGGGUUACCGAACUCAGUCAAACUCCGAAUGCCAAAGACUUAUGUCCGGGAGUCAGACGGCGAGUGCUAAGAUCCGUCGUCAAGAGGGAAACAGCCCAGACCAUCAGCUAAGGUCCCCAAGUGUAUGUUAAGUGGGAAACGAUGUGGAGUUGCCCAGACAACCAGGAUGUUGGCUUAGAAGCAGCCACCAUUUAAAGAGUGCGUAAUAGCUCACUGGUCGAGUGACUCUGCGCGGAAAAUGUAACGGGGCUAAACAUACCACCGAAGCUAUGGCAGUCCUUACGGACUGGGUAGGGGAGCGUUCCAAGCAGCAGGGAAGCCGUACCGCAAGGAGCGGUGGAGCGCUUGGAAGUGAGAAUGCCGGUGUAAGUAGCGAAAAGACAAGUGAGAAUCUUGUCCACCGAAAGCCUAAGGGUUCCUGGGGAAGGCUCGUCCUCCCAGGGUUAGUCGGGACCUAAGCUGAGGCCGAAAGGCGUAGGCGAUGGACAACUGGUUGAUAUUCCAGUACCACCUCCGUUCCGCUUGAGCAAUGGCGUGACGCAGGAGGAUAGGGUGAGCGGCCGAUUGGAUGGCCGUCCAAGCAGCAAGUGUGGUGUGUAGGCAAAUCCGCACACCAUGAAGCACAAGCUGUGAUGGCGAGGGAAACAUAAGUACCGAAGUCCCUGAUUUCACACUGCCAAGAAAAGCGUCUAGCGAGGAAUGAGGUGCCCGUACCGCAAACCGACACAGGUAGGCGAGGAGAGAAUCCUAAGGUGCGCGGGAUAACUCUUGCUAAGGAACUCGGCAAAAUGGCCCCGUAACUUCGGGAGAAGGGGCGCCCCGGUAGGGUUUAUAGCCCGAGGGGGCCGCAGUGAAAAGGCCCAAGCGACUGUUUAGCAAAAACACAGGUCUCUGCGAAGCCGCAAGGCGAAGUAUAGGGGCUGACGCCUGCCCGGUGCUGGAAGGUUAAGGGGAUGGGUUAGUUUUGGGACCCCGCCGAACGCGAGCGUAAGCUUGGGUUCGGCGGGCCGAAGCGAAGCUUUGAACCGAAGCCCCAGUAAACGGCGGCCGUAACUAUAACGGUCCUAAGGUAGCGAAAUUCCUUGUCGGGUAAGUUCCGACCCGCACGAAAGGCGUAACGACUUGGGCGCUGUCUCGGCAAGAGACCCGGUGAAAUCAUAAUACCUGUGAAGAUGCAGGUUACCCGCGACAAGACGGAAAGACCCCAUGGAGCUUUACUGUAGCCUGGUAUUGGAACUUUGUGCAUCAUGUACAGGAUAGGUGGGAAGCGUGGAAGCAGGGGCGCCAGCCUCUGUGGAGCUGUCGGUGGGAUACCACCCUUGAUGUACGGAGUUUCUAACUUGGCACCCUGAUCGGGUGCAAGGACCAUGCCAGGUGGGCAGUUUGACUGGGGCGGUCGCCUCCUAAAAGGUAACGGAGGCGCCCAAAGGUUCCCUCAGAAUGGUCGGAAAUCAUUCGUAGAGUGUAAAGGCAGAAGGGAGCUUGACUGCGAGACCUACAAGUCGAGCAGGGACGAAAGUCGGGCUUAGUGAUCCGGUGGUUCCGCAUGGAAGGGCCAUCGCUCAACGGAUAAAAGCUACCCUGGGGAUAACAGGCUUAUCUCCCCCAAGAGUCCACAUCGACGGGGAGGUUUGGCACCUCGAUGUCGGCUCAUCGCAUCCUGGGGCUGAAGUAGGUCCCAAGGGUUGGGCUGUUCGCCCAUUAAAGCGGUACGCGAGCUGGGUUCAGAACGUCGUGAGACAGUUCGGUCCCUAUCUGUCGCGGGCGCAGGAAGUUUGAGGAGAGCUGUCCUUAGUACGAGAGGACCGGGAUGGACGCACCGCUGGUGCACCAGUUGUCACGCCAGUGGCACAGCUGGGUAGCUAUGUGCGGACGGGAUAAGCGCUGAAAGCAUCUAAGCGUGAAGCCCCCUCCAAGAUGAGACUUCCCACAGCGUUAAGCUGGUAAGACCCCUCAUAGACGAUGAGGUUGAUAGGUUCGGUGUGGAAGCGCGGCAACGCGUGGAGCUGACGAAUACUAAUCGGUCGAGGGCUUAUCCACAUUC